rnacentral:rRNA from 1 species
AGUGAACGCUGGCGGUAGGCCUAACACAUGCAAGUCGAACGGCAGCACAGUAAGAGCUUGCUCUUACGGGUGGCGAGUGGCGGACGGGUGAGGAAUACAUCGGAAUCUACUUUUUCGUGGGGGAUAACGUAGGGAAACUUACGCUAAUACCGCAUACGACCUACGGGUGAAAGCAGGGGAUAUUCGGACCUUGCGCGAUUGAAUGAGCCGAUGUCGGAUUAGCUAGUUGGCGGGGUAAAGGCCCACCAAGGCGACGAUCCGUAGCUGGUCUGAGAGGAUGAUCGGCCACACGGGAACUGAGACACGGUCCAGACUCCUACGGGAGGCAGCAGUGGGGAAUAUUGGACAAUGGGCGCAAGCCUGAUCCAGCCAUACCGCGUGGGUGAAGAAGGCCUUCGGGUUGUAAAGCCCUUUUGUUGGGAAAGAAAAGCAGCAGGUUAAUACCCCGCUGUUCUGACGGUACCCAAAGAAUAAGCACCGGCUAACUUCGUG